rnacentral:rRNA from 1 species
UGGGGAAUAUUGCACAAUGGGCGCAAGCCUGAUGCAGCCAUGCCGCGUGUAUGAAGAAGGCCUUCGGGUUGUAAAGUACUUUCAGCGGGGGGGAAGGCGAUAAGGUUAAUAACCUUGUCGAUUGACGUUACCCGCAGAAGAAGCACCGGCUAACUCCGUGCCAGCAGCCGCGGUAAUACGGAGGGUGCAAGCGUUAAUCGGAAUUACUGGGCGUAAAGCGCACGCAGGCGGUCUGUCAAGUCGGAUGUGAAAUCCCCGGGCUCAACCUGGGAACUGCAUUCGAAACUGGCAGGCUAGAGUCUUGUAGAGGGGGGUAGAAUUCCAGGUGUAGCGGUGAAAUGCGUAGAGAUCUGGAGGAAUACCGGUGGCGAAGGCGGCCCCCUGGACAAAGACUGACGCUCAGGUGCGAAAGCGUGGGGAGCAAACA